rnacentral:tRNA from 1 species
AGCCUUGUAGUCAAUGUAUGAUGUUAGACUGCAAUUCUAGAGUAGUAGUGUACCUACUAAGGCUU